rnacentral:lncRNA from 1 species
AUUCGAGCCCAGUGAGUUACAAUGAAAUAGCUCAAAUAAGUAUUCUGUGAUACAUUUACAUGCCAGGUUCUAUGAUAUAAAGCUAAAACUAAAAAUCCUUUUACCUCAUGGCGGCCCACUGGGUCGGCAUUAAUGAAGAUCGGAGAAGGGAAGUUUAUUUCUAAUAGGAUGAAAACCCAAGUAAGGUCAGGAGUGAGAUGCAGAUUUUGAUGUAUGUUGGGGAGAUUAGAUUUGGGCAUAUAGGAAAGAAAGAGGACCAAGCAAACCUAGGCACUGGCACAUGGACCCAGAAAGGCAGCCUUUAUCCCGGUCAUGGAAGUAUAAAGAGAGUGCAGCGCUGUUUACUCUGUGCCUCUCCGUGAAUCUGGGAGAGCCGCUGAUGAGCCUAGCCCAUGUCCAUCUGGUCCGCUCCUGAGCUGAGCCAAGCCCAUUUCUGGACCCAUCUGACCCGCCCCUGCCUACAUUGUUUUCGAACUUGAAAAGAUUUAACACCAUCACCGUAAUUGGAUUGCCCGGCAUAUCUGAUUCUUCAGUGAGCUGAAUUAAAAGAUACAUGCGUUUUCGUAAAGGAGGGAAACUACAACCGCACAGCUAACCUCGAAGACUUCCUAGCUAAAUGUCAGACAGUAUACCAAGGACAAAACCUGACUAUGCCUCUAUACUUCCUUACAAUCAAUGCUAAUCUGUAAACUGGAAUAAGCUGUUAUUUUAUUUGACAAAGAUGACAUUGUGAAGAAAGAAAACACACACACACACACACACAUCCCUGCUUUAGUCCUUUCUGAGACGUCUCUACAGAGAGAGACCUACCCAUUUGAACGAAUCAGAAAACCUGGCAGCUGUACAUACUGAUGAGGCGUGAUGCACUCUGAACUGAGUGAUGGAUUUAUAAAUUGUGAAGACAACUUGGGAAAACUGACCAGCAUAAUAUGGGAAAAUGGAAGAUGCACACCUGCUAGGAGCUCCUUCCAGAAUGUGCAGAACAAGCGGAUACGGAGUGGGAAACCAGCCUCCAGAGCACCCAUUCUGGACUCAAGACACAGCAUGCUCGGUUCUACCCUCGGAUCUUAGAGACGAUCUGGAACCGCUUGAUGCUGCUCUGAGCUCUCUCAGUCCCUCUGAAGGUGACAGCCAGCUGUAUGCAAAGGGAGUUCUCUGUUCCACGCUGAUUUUCUGAUCCACAUUUUACAGCCUCAUUAAAGGAGACUUUAACCACGGUCCC